rnacentral:rRNA from 1 species
AUUGAACGCUGGCGGAAGGCUUAACACAUGCAAGUCGAGCGAGCGGCGGACGGGUGAGUAAUGUCUGGGAAACUGCCUGAUGGAGGGGGAUAACUACUGGAAACGGUAGCUAAUACCGCAUACCAUCAGAUGUGCCCAGAUGGGAUUAGCUAGUAGGUGGGGUAAUGGCUCACCUAGGCGACGAUCCCUAGCGGGUCUGAGAGGAGUACCAGCCAUACUGGGACUAAGACCCGGCCUAGACUCCUACGGGAGGCAGCAGUGGGGAAUAUUCCACAAUGGGCGCAAGCCUGAUGCGGCCAUCCGGCGUGUGUGAAGAAGGCCUUCGGGUUGUAAAGCACUUUCAGCGAGGAUGCAUUACUCGCAGAAGAAGCACCGGCUAACUCCGUGCCAACAGCCGCGGUAAUAC